UACGGGGGGAGCAAGCGUUGUUCGGAUUUACUGGGCGUAAAGGGCGUGUAGGCGGCGUGACAAGUCACUUGUGAAAUCUCCGGGCUUAACCCGGAACGGUCAAGUGAUACUGUCGUGCUAGAGUACAGAAGGGGCAACUGGAAUUCUCGGUGUAGCGGUGAAAUGCGUAGAUAUCGAGAGGAACACCUGCGGCGAAGGCGGGUUGCUGGGCUGAUACUGACGCUGAGGCGCGAAAGCCAGGGGAGCGAACGGG
rnacentral:rRNA from 1 species